rnacentral:tRNA from 4 species
GCCCAGAUGGCGGAAUUGGUAGACGCGCUGGCUUCAGGUGCCAGUGAUCGAAAGGUCGUGGAGGUUCGAGUCCUCUUCUGGGCACCA